GAUGAACGCUGGCGGCGUGCCUAAUACAUGCAAGUCGAGCGAACAUACGAGGAGCUUGCUUCUCUGACGUUAGCGGCGGACGGGUGAGUAACACGUGGAUAACCUACCUAUAAGACUGGGAUAACUUCGGGAAACCGGAGCUAAUACCGGAUAAUAUAUUGAACCGCAUGGUUCAAUAGUGAAAGACGGUUUUGCGGUCACUUAUAGAUGUAUCCGCGCCGCAUUAGCUAGUUGGUAAGGUAACGGCUUACCAAGGCAACGAUGCGUAGCCGACCUGAGAGGGUGAUCGGCCACACUGGAACUGAGACACGGUCCAGACUCCUACGGGAGGCAGCAGUAGGGAAUCUUCCGCAAUGGGCGAAAGCUUGACGGAGCAACGCCGCGUGAGUGAUGAAGGUCUUCGGAUCGUAAAACUCUGUUAUUAGGGAAGAACAAAUGUGUAAGUAACUAUGCACGUCUUGACGGUACCUAAUCAGAAAGCCACGGCUAACUACGUG
rnacentral:rRNA from 1 species